rnacentral:rRNA from 1 species
AGAGUUUGAUCCUGGCUCAGGACGAACGCUGACGGUGUGCUUUAGACAUGCAAGUCGAACGAGAAAGCCCUUCGGGGUGAGUACAGUGGCGAACGGGUGAGUAACACGUGGGCAACCUGCCCCUCGCAGGGGGACAACCGGAGGAAACUCCGGCUAAUACCCCGUACGCUUGUUGGAUCGCAUGGUCCAGCAAGGAAAGGUAGCUUCGGCCAUCCGGCGAGGGAUGGGCCCGCGUUGCAUUAGCUAGUUGGUGGGGUAACGGCCUACCAAGGCGACGAUGCGUAGCUGGUCUGAGAGGAUGAUCAGCCACACUGGGACUGAGACACGGCCCAGACUCCUACGGGAGGCAGCAGCCAGGAAUCUUGGGCAAUGGGCGAAAGCCUGACCCAGCAACACCGUGUGGGCGAUGAAGGCCUUAGGGUCGUAAAGCCCUGUUGAUAGGGACGAAGGGCGAAGGGUUAAUAGCCCCUAGCUUGACGGUACCUUUCGAGGAAGCCCCGGCUAACUACGUGCCAGCAGCCGCGGUAAUACGUAGGGGGCGAGCGUUGUCCGGAAUUAUUGGGCGUAAAGAGCGUGUAGGCGGUUCGGUAAGUCUGCUGUGAAAUCCUGGGGCUCAACCCUGGGCGUGCAGCGGAUACUGCCGGGCUAGAGGGUGGUAGAGGCGAGUGGAAUUCCGAGUGUAGCGGUGAAAUGCGCAGAUAUUCGGAGGAACACCAGUAGCGAAGGCGGCUCGCUGGGCCACACCUGACGCUGAGACGCGAAAGCGUGGGGAGCGAACAGGAUUAGAUACCCCCGUAGUCC